AUCCAACUGACAAGUCCCAAAUAGGACGAAACGCGAGUCCUGCAU
rnacentral:hammerhead_ribozyme from 1 species